GACGAACGCUGGCGGCGUGCUUAACACAUGCAAGUCGAACGGAAAGGCCCUGCUUUUGUGGGGUGCUCGAGUGGCGAACGGGUGAGUAACACGUGAGUAACCUGCCCUUGACUUUGGGAUAACUUCAGGAAACUGGGGCUAAUACCGGAUAGGAGCUCCUGCUGCAUGGUGGGGGUUGGAAAGUUUCGGCGGUUGGGGAUGGACUCGCGGCUUAUCAGCUUGUUGGUGGGGUAGUGGCUUACCAAGGCUUUGACGGGUAGCCGGCCUGAGAGGGUGACCGGCGAGGGGGGGGCUGCGGUGAGGCCCGGAGGGGUACGGUGGGCAGGAGGGGGGGGGAGGGGCCAGGGGGCGGACGUCUGACGCCGCGACGUCGGGUGCGGGAGGAAGGGCUUCGGGUUGGAAAAAGAGUGCGCCUGUGACGAAGAGUGAGGGAGGGUAAUGGGUAAAGGAGGUCCGGCUAGUUACGUG
rnacentral:rRNA from 1 species